CUUUCAGAAGCUGCUGGAUCCUCUUCACUCUGGCUUGCUGAUAGUUUUAUCUUGCAGCAUUAUUCUGAACGUUGCUCUCAUUUGUAUAAGAUGUAAACUGACCUGUACACACUGUGCAGAUGAAAAGAACAGUGAUAUAUCAAAAGUGGAAUGGUCACGCAAGCAAUGCCAUGACGAGGACACACUGAAUUACGCUGCCCUGAACCUUAAGAAGCCAAAACCCAGGAGACAGAAGAAAGACGGGAAUAAUGACACUCUGUAUUCUGACCUCCGCUACAGAGAUUAUGAAUAAAGAUGCUUCUCAUUCAUGUCAGUCACACAGAGUGUUCAGGGUGUAGCUUUAAUAAUGUUCAGAAGGAGGGCAGGGGAGCCAGUGCUUCUGAGACUGAA